AUUGAACGCUGGCGGCAGGCUUAACACAUGCAAGUCGAGCGGGCGUAGCAAUACGUCAGCGGCAGACGGGUGAGUAACGCGUGGGAACGUACCUUUUGGUUCGGAACAACACAGGGAAACUUGUGCUAAUACCGGAUAAGCCCUUACGGGGAAAGAUUUAUCGCCGAAAGAUCGGCCCGCGUCUGAUUAGCUAGUUGGUGAGGUAACGGCUCACCAAGGCGACGAUCAGUAGCUGGUCUGAGAGGAUGAUCAGCCACAUUGGGACUGAGACACGGCCCAAACUCCUACGGGAGGCAGCAGUGGGGAAUAUUGGACAAUGGGCGCAAGCUUGAUCCAGCCAUGCCGCGUGAGUGAUGAAGGCCCUAGGAUUGUAAAGCUCUUUUGUGCGGGAAGAUAAUGACGGUACCGCAAGAAUAAGCCCCGGCUAACUUCGUGCCAGCCGCCGCGGUAAUAC
rnacentral:rRNA from 1 species